AUUGAACGCUGGCGGCAUGCUUUACACAUGCAAGUCGAACGGUAACAGGUUAAGCUGACGAGUGGCGAACGGGUGAGUAAUGCAUCGGAACGUGCCCGAUCGUGGGGGAUAACGCAGCGAAAGCUGCGCUAAUACCGCAUACGAUCUGAGGAUGAAAGCGGGGGACCGUAAGGCCUCGCGCGAUCGGAGCGGCCGAUGUCAGCUUAGGUAGUUGGUGGGGUAAAGGCCUACCAAGCGGACGUUCUGGAGCUGGUCUGAGAGGACGACCAGCCACACUGGGACUGAGACACGGCCCAGACUCCUACGGGAGGCAGCAGUGGGGAAUUUUGGACAAUGGGCGAAAGCCUGAUCCAGCAAUGCCGCGUGCAGGAAGAAGGCCUUCGGGUUGUAAACUGCUUUUGUACGGAGCGAAAAGGCUCUCUCUAAUACAGGGGGCUCAUGACGGUACCGUAAGAAUAAGCACCGGCUAACUACGUGCCAGCAGCCGCCGUAA
rnacentral:rRNA from 1 species